CCGCUCGAUGCCGUCGUUAGUGGCCCUUGGUUGGCCGUACGGCGAGGACUCACCGUAGAGGCAGCGAUAACCAGGUGGUUGAUGCCAUAAUUAGGACUGAAAGUCUUAACCAUGAGUGGACGGUGUUAUUUUGGUGGUUACCAGUGUGGCCAAGAGUCAAGGCAGCUCAGUAGCUGCCUUGGGGAAGACGGGGAGAGCUGUUGAUGUGGUUACAGGGCUGAAACCCGCUGGCCAUGAGCGGUAAUGUGUUCAGCGGCCAGUGACAUCGCUGGGAUUUGACUCUGCAGCGUCACCAGUAACACUUCUCAGUGGCUGCGUCUCAAAACAACCAUCUGCAGAAGAUACUUUCAGUGGUUAGCAGUCCAGGGUCCAAAAAUUUUGAGGCCUUUUUGAUAGAAAGUAGAGAUCAAUAGUGUCACAGCCCUUCUGUAAAACUCGUAAUUACAUCAAAAGUUGGCAUUGGUUUCAUCCUUCAGUGAUAGCUUCAAGGCAGGGACAAAGGUUUAAAUUGGAUGAACUUCUCUACAGCUUCUGUAGAGGUUGCGUGGAAGUCAGAACUGAGGCACGUAGACGUGGCAAUACAGCCCAGGCUUCGGAGCUGUCCGCAUAAGUUAUAAACAGGUAAACAUUUGUGUUUCAUCUAAUAAAUAGCAACUGUACAUGCACCCUGGACAUUUUACUAGAUUUGCUGCACUACAGGUGUUUACAUUGAUGAAUCUACAACUAAGAAGAAAAAGGAAACAAGUCUUGAAGUGUAAAGAAAGUAUUUUUUCAGGUGUUUUGUUGAACAACUUUCCAAGAAUUGAAGUGGAGCUGAAUGUUAUAUGUUUCCCAGUUUCCCCUUUUGAAGGUAGGUUGUGAUUGACUCUUGUG
ensembl:lncRNA